AGCUGCUGGCAUAGAGUAACCUGCUGCUAAAGAAUAACUUUAGUUUAUUUACGAGUGCAUAGAAAGAACUCCAUUACCGCGCAGAAGAGCACACAAGCAGCACUACUUGAAGACAAAGGCAAAACAGAGUAUCGGAAGUGCGAAGUUAUGUAAAUAGCAAGAAAGAUAACGCAAUGCAGAUGUGGGUAUUUGAAAUUAAUAUUUGUGCAGUAUUGCUGGAUUUUCGCAAUUUAUGCGAAAUUAAGCAGUAAGGAAAUGAGAAGAUAAUUUUCAGUAUACUCAGGCCAAAUCCGUAAUAGAAGCAGAUAAUUUGCUUUGAAGCGUAGAAAACUGAAAGUAUUUAAGCCAGUUGAAGCUCUCGACAAUUCAACUGUAUGAUUACAUAUCACCCGCUCGUGCUAUUUUCGAAUUGUUCGAGGCCUUUGGAGGUUUUUAAAAUCUGUGAGGGUCUCCGACGCUUCCUUCUGCGUGUUACAAACUUCGUGACAAACUUAAUAUACCCUGUUCAGGGUAUAAUUAAAAGAGGAAGAAGAAGAAAGAGGCGGCUGCUGGAUAGAGUAACCUGCUGCUAAAGAAUCACUUUAGUUUAUUUAUGAGUACAUAGAAGGAACUACAUUACUGCGCAGAAGAGCAUACAAGCAGCACCGCUUGAAGACAAAGGCAAAGCAGAGUAGCGGAAGUGCAAAGUUAUGCAGAGCGAGUUAAGUGGCGCAGAUGAACACACUUAUAUACACAUAAACACAUACUCAGACAUACACACUUUCAUAAACUCACUCACACCCCCGCACAGAUACCGCAAUACAGAUGUGGGUAUUUGAAAUUAAUAUUUUUGCAGUAUUGCUGAAUUUUCGCAUACAAAUUUAUAUGAAAUUAAACAGUAAGGUGAUUAGAAGAUAAG